AUGUUGCUCUCCAGGCUUCUGAGGGUGCUCAUGGCUUCCACGUGGCUAGGAUCCAGUAUUGCCCAGAAGGUAACUCAAGCCCAACUGGCGAUGUUAGGGCAGGAGAAGGGGGCUGUCACUCUGGAAUGCAUGCUUAGUACAAGUGACCCGAGUUACAGUCUACUGUGCUACAAGCAGCCCAGCUGUGGGGCAAUGAUUUUUCCUUAUUCGUCAAGAUUCUUACAGCCAGCAAAAUGCCACUGAUGGUCGCUACUCACUGAAUUUCCAGAAGACAAGAAAAUCCAUCCAACUUGUCAUCUCAGCUUCAGAGCUGGAGGACUCCGCAGUGUAUAUCUGUGCACUGAGGGAGGCCACAGUGAGUGGAGUGAUGGAGGGAGGUGUACCCAAACCCCAGGGCUCUUCCUGA